CCUCUUCCAGCUUUCUGUGCUCUGAUCUUUUCCCCUAUUCCCUACCCUGUUUCUCAGUGCCUUAUCAGACCCUGCUCCUCCUUAGCUUAAGCUUUACCUUUUCCACCAGUUUUGUGAGAUCAGCCCACCCCAGCCAGAACUGUUUUUCUACUGUUAUUUUUGCCCUCCCAGCCAGUUAUUAGUCCUCAAUGGACCAUUUCUAAGACCUCUUUUGAAGCCCUCUCCAUCCUCACCCCUAGCUUAGUGUAGUGCUAGGCACAUAGCGGGCUCUUGGUGAGUCCUGGUUGGUCAGGUGAUGGAUAACAUUUUUCUCCUCUUCUCCCUAGGUUGAUCUGUUCCAGCUGCAAGUGAACACCCUACGACGUUAUAAACGACACUACAAGUUGCAGACCAGACCAGGCUUCAAUAAGGCCCAGUUAGCGGAAACUGUGAGUCGACACUUCAGGAACAUACCUGUGAAUGAAAAAGAGACCCUUGCCUACUUCAUCUACAUGGUGAAGAGUAACAAGAGUAGACUGGACCAGAAAUCGGACGGUGGCAAGCAGCUUGAGUGAGGAUGAAGCACAUCUUAAAGGAAUGAAGUGUAAUGCUUGAUGCACAGGUGAUAUCUGCUACAUUUAAGCCCAUAAAGACUGUUAAAUAUUAUUGUAAAUAAAAAAGUUUGAAUGAUGAAUACUGUAAAUCUUUUUGGUCAGGAGGAUUAUAUUCUCAUCAUUCAGCAUGUGUAUAGAAAGACUUUUAAGAUAACUCUGGACUAAAAAAAUCAGGAUCAUUAAAAGAAUUAAAAACU
rnacentral:sRNA from 1 species